rnacentral:lncRNA from 1 species
UGGCGGCGUAUGCGCUGUCCUGUGUUGAUAGACGUCUUAAUAAUUCCAAAAAACAACAUUUUUCCAUGAAGUCAUGCGUGAGGGGAUCGGUUCUGAUUGAGGACAUCGUGAAUGCGUGAGGGGAAGUACAAACAUUUUUUUUUUUAAUCUUUGGCUUUGUGACUUUUGUUGACUCAAUGAAUAAAUGUGAUCAAAUCAAUGCUGAUUAAAAAUCACAGAUUUAUCCUUAUACUUU